GACGAACGCUGGCGGCGUGCCUAACACAUGCAAGUCGAGCGAAUGAAGUUCCUUCGGGAACGGAUUUAGCGGCGGACGGGUGAGUAACACGUGGGUAACCUGCCCAAGAGACUGGGAUAACACCUGGAAACAGAUGCUAAUACCGGAUAACAACACUAGACGCAUGUCUAGAGUUUGAAAGAUGGUUCUGCUAUCACUCUUGGAUGGACCUGCGGUGCAUUAGCUAGUUGGUAAGGUAACGGCUUACCAAGGCAAUGAUGCAUAGCCGAGUUGAGAGACUGAUCGGGCCACAUUGGGACUGAGACACGGCCCAAACUCCUACGGGAGGCAGCAGUAGGGAAUCUUCCACAAUGGACGAAAGUCUGAUGGAGCAACGCCGCGUGAGUGAAGAAGGGUUUCGGCUCGUAAAGCUCUGUUGGUAGUGAAGAAAGAUAGAGGUAG
rnacentral:rRNA from 1 species